GACGGGGCCCGCACAAGCGGUGGAGCAUGUGGUUUUAAUUCGAAGCAACGCGAAGAACCUUACCAGGUCUUGACAUCCCGAUGCUAUUUCUAGAGAUAGAAAGUUACUUCGGUACAUCGGUGACAGGUGGUGCAUGGUUGUCGUCAGCUCGUGUCGUGAGAUGUUGGGUUAAGUCCCGCAACGAGCGCAACCCCUAUUGUUAGUUGCCAUCAUUCAGUUGGGCACUCUAGCGAGACUGCCGGUAAUAAACCGGAGGAAGGUGGGGAUGACGUCAAAUCAUCAUGCCCCUUAUGACCUGGGCUACACACGUGCUACAAUGCCCACUACAAAGCGAGGCCACCCGGCAACGGGGAGCUAAUCGCAAAAAGGUGGGCCCAGUUCGGAUUGGGGUCUGCAACCCGACCCCAUGAAGCCGGAAUCGCUAGUAAUCGCGGAUCAGCACGCCGCGGUGAAUACGUUCCCGGGCCUU
rnacentral:rRNA from 1 species